GUUUCUUCAAAUGCAAAUUGUCCUGCUGCCUUGCUGGGUUCCCAGGAAGUCCAUAGACUUUGCAGCUGUGAGACUACUUGGUCAGGUCUAAAAUGCCACCUACGUGUAAAGGAUCAUUGUUGCCAACAGUACGUUUGCAAGGGGUCAUGAAGCUUUUGGCAUCUGCCAUUGGCACUGGCUUGGAGGAGGGUCAGAUGGCCCAGUGCUCAUGCACAUAAACUCCUAGGAUUAUAUGUGCUGGGAACACUAUCAAGAGUCAUCAGUUGCUUCUCUUUGUCCCCAAGGAAGCAAAUGUACAUGGGUGUUACUGAAGCAUUUACAACAACGCAAGGAGGCUUCUAGAACACUGUAGAGCAAUAUUAAUGUUUGUUCAGAGCUUUGUAGUUUGCGUGUCAUCCUUAUACAUAUUAUCUCACUCACUUAAUCUUCUUUAGGAGUCUGGGUUUGGGCAUCAUUCAUGAUUUACAGGUGAGGAAAAUGAAGUCUAGAGAAAUGUGCAGAAAGACACAAGAAGGCAGGGGAAGAUCAGCCCAUGCUUUCUGACUCUGGGUCUGACUCUUGCCCCUUCCUUGAUAAUAUUUAGAAAAUAAAAGGUCCAUAUCUGAUUUAUCUUGAUAUUCUCCAGGGAACUUAGCCCUAGCUGGGGACUUAGUGGGUUUUUAAUAGAUGCUAGAAUCACAGAAGCAAAGAGUACAGGUUUUGGAUUAAGACAGACAUGUAUUCAAAUCCUGUGCAGCCACAGACUGGCUGUGUGGAGCUGAGCAAGGUACUUCAGCUCUUCUGAUUCCUCAUUUGUCAAGGGCUGGGGGUGCGUUUUCUGCCUGGGGCUGCUGUGAGCAUCAGUGGAGGGUCACACAUAAAGCAUUGACUACUCCACCUGCCACACCUAAUAUACUUCAGUUCAUGAAAGCUCUAAAAACUGGCUUUUAAAGCCUUUCAUUUGGGUGGAAUGAAUGGAGGACGAUUGUGAGAACUUGCUUCUCUUUUGUUGCCUUCUACCUUUCUCUCCAAUACUCAUUUAUUUUUAAAAUUCAUUUGGGCAGAUAAAGGUGAUGGGCUCACAUGCCUCUGACUCAUUCACUCCUAAGUCAGUAGGCUUUGUGUGGUCAGGGGCCUUCGACAGGCUCCCUCCUCUGUGGCUUUAGCUUUUGUGUCCCUGCAGAGAUCUGCUUUGCUCCAAUCCAGAUAAACUCCCAUAUCAAAUCCAAAACAGUGGACUUGCCUAAACUCACUUGGACAGAGGAAGGUAAUAAAUCCCCUACUCUCUGUGCAAAGUACACUAUCUCUUAGAUUGCUGGCAUUCAGGUACUGACUGUGCAACUUAUAUGCUCCUCUGCUUCAUUUGGGUUUCACAAAGGAACUACUAAUAUACCCAUUUUAAAGAUGGGGAAAAUAAGUCACAGAGAGUCAUUUAUUGAAUUUUAACCAUGUGUCAAAUACUGUGUUAGGUGUUCUGUUUGCUUUACUUUUAAUUUUCAUAGAGAAUUUGGAGAUGUAGCAACUGAGGCUUAGGGAUGUCAAGUGAUUUGUCCAAAAGUCACAUCAGGCAUUUGUUAGUUUAAAAGUUUGUAUUGUUAUUAUAUAUAAAUUAUAAUGCAGAUGUGCCUUACAUGAGCUCAAGUGCAAGACACAGAG
rnacentral:lncRNA from 1 species